UGUUAAAAUUUUUAUAUAUUUAUAUUAUUAAAAAUUGGUGUAACUAAUGGAAUUACUAACCAAUGACAUAUGGCGUGCUACGAGUACCUCAUACUAAAAUGCAUGAAUCAUUUUUUAACCAUAGAAAUAGAUAAAAUUUUCUAACG
rnacentral:pre_miRNA from 1 species